rnacentral:tRNA from 2 species
GGCGCCAUAGCCAAGUGGUAAGGCAGAGGUCUGCAAAACCUCCACUCCCCAGUUCGAAUCUGGGUGGCGCCU